rnacentral:rRNA from 1 species
GAUGAACGCUGGCGGCGUGCCUAAUACAUGCAAGUCGAGCGAACGGACGAGAAGCUUGCUUCUCUGAUGUUAGCGGCGGACGGGUGAGUAACACGUGGAUAACCUACCUAUAAGACUGGGAUAACUUCGGGAAACCGGAGCUAAUACCGGAUAAUAUUUUGAACCGCAUGGUUCAAAAGUGAAAGACGGUCUUGCUGUCACUUAUAGAUGGAUCCGCGCUGCAUUAGCUAGUUGGUAAGGUAACGGCUUACCAAGGCAACGAUGCAUAGCCGACCUGAGAGGGUGAUCGGCCACACGGGAACUGAGACACGGCCCAGACUCCUACGGGAGGCAGCAGUAGGGAAUCUUCCGCAAAGGGCGAAAGCCUGACGGAGCAACGCCGCGUGAGUGAUGAAGGUCUUCGGAUCGUAAAACUCUGUUAUUAGGGAAGAACAUAUGUGUAAGUAACUGUGCACAUCUUGACGGUACCUAAUCAGAAAGCCACGGUUAACUACGUG